CGGUACCCGCACCCGGCAGCCGCUUUUGGUGCUAAGCUGCUAGGAAGCCCCUCUCGGCGAGCUCGUUGGAGCUUGAACCCAUUGUCACCCCUCGGACUUACCGACAAAACAAAACAAAAAAAUGGUUGAAGCAGAUCGCCCAGGAAAGCUCUUCAUUGGUGGGCUUAAUAC